rnacentral:rRNA from 1 species
UACGAAGGGGGCUAGCGUUGCUCGGAAUCACUGGGCGUAAAGCGCACGUAGGCGGAUUGCUAAGUCAGGGGUGAAAUCCUGGAGCUCAACUCCAGAACUGCCUUUGAUACUGGAUGGCUUGAAUCCGGGAGAGGGAUGCGGAAUUCCAGGUGUAGCGGUGAAAUGCGUAGAUAUCUGGAGGAACACCGGUGGCGAAGGCGGCAUCCUGGACCGGCAUUGACGCUGAGGAGCGAAAGCCAGGGGAGCAAACGGG